rnacentral:rRNA from 1 species
CAGUAGCCGCGGGAAUACGAAGGGGGCUAGCGUUGUUCGGAUUUACUGGGCGUAAAGGGCGCGUAGGCGGACUGAUAAGUCAGGGGUGAAAUCCCAAGGCUCAACCUUGGAACUGCCUUUGAUACUGUUUGUCUUGAGUUCGAGAGAGGUAAGUGGAACUGCGAGUGUAGAGGUGAAAUUCGUAGAUAUUCGCAAGAACACCAGUGGCGAAGGCGGCUUACUGGCUCGAAACUGACGCUGAGGCGCGAAAGCGUGGGGAGCAAACAGGAUUAGAUACCCGCGUAGUCCCUGUCUCUUAUAC